CAAUAGCGUAUAUUAAAGUUGUUGCAGUUAAAAAGCUCGUAGUUGGAUUUCUGGGAGGGUGCCAAUGUCCGCCUUUGCGCGUGUGCAGCGGCGCCCUUCCAUCCUUCUGUUAACGUCUCUUGGCAUUCAUUUGCUGGUGGCGGGCUCAGAUAUUUUACCUUGAGAAAAUUAGAGUGUUUCAGGCAGGCUAGGCCGGAAUACAUUAGCAUGGAAUAAUGGAAUAGGACUAUAGUCUCUUUGUUUGGUUUGAGGGACUGCAGUAAUGAUUAAUAGGGAUAUUGGGGGCGAUUAGUAUUUAAUUGUCAGAGGUGGAAUUCUCAGAUUUGUUAAAGACUAACUUAUGCGAAAGCAUUUGUCCAAGG
rnacentral:rRNA from 1 species